GACAGAGGGUGCAAACGUUGCUCGGAAUUACUGGGCGUAAAGGGCGCGUAGGCGGCGCUCCAAGUUAGGCGUGAAAGCCCCGGGCUCAACCUGGGGAUUGCGCUUAAGACUGGAGUGCUCGAGUGCGGAAGAGGUGAGUGGAAUUCCCAGUGUAGAGGUGAAAUUCGUAGAUAUUGGGAAGAACACCAGUGGCGAAGGCGGCUCACUGGUCCGCAACUGACGCUGAGGCGCGAAAGCGUGGGGAGCAAACAGG
rnacentral:rRNA from 1 species